GACAGAGGGUGCAAACGUUGUUCGGAAUUACUGGGCGUAAAGCGCGUGUAGGCGGCAGGGCAUGUCGGAUGUGAAAUCCCAUGGCUCAACCAUGGAAGUGCACCCGAAACUGCCCAGCUAGAGUCUCGGAGAGGAAGGUGGAAUGCUUGGUGUAGAGGUGAAAUUCGUAGAUAUCAAGCAGAACACCGGUGGCGAAGGCGGCCUUCUGGACGAUGACUGACGCUGAGACGCGAAAGCGUGGGGAGCAAACAGG
rnacentral:rRNA from 1 species